UACUUUGACAAUUUUUGGAUUUUAUAUCAACUGAUAAAUUGAAAUAUAUCUAAAACACCUGUAUCUGCAUUGCAAUGCAUUUCGCAUUCACAAAUACUUAUAUAUCCUGAGACUUUUAUCUAUGGCGCACACCUUAAGACCCAAGAUCCCCCGAGGAAGCUAGUUCUUUUCGUACAUGUCAUUGACUCACACCCAAGGAAAGAGACAGAGACUAAGUGAGAGAAAGAGAGAGAGACAGUCCGGAAUGGUAGAGAAACAUAAAAUUUGCCGCAAUUUCUAGGGCGUCGUCAUCGCCGUUGUCGUCUCGUUUUGUAGGUGACUUUGGCUGUGCGGCAUAUAAAUAAAUAUUAUAUUACCCUCAGUGAGCAGGAAACCUUAGACCCGCGUCGCAAAUGCGAGACACAUCUCCCGCCCCUCGCCCUUUUGUUUGCCUGCUGAGUUGUUAAUUAAAUAUUUACCCUGCUUAUUUGCAAAAUGAAUAACUUUAGCAUUUUAUUUCACAUGGCGCAAUGUGUGUAGCUUCUAUGUAUGUUGCUUCUAGGGAUUUCCGGCCCGCACUCUAACCUUUUAGCACAUUUAUGCUUGACUUGGGAGACACUUUAAGUUCGCCUUUGGCUGCAGCUUUAAUUGCCUUUAUUGCGGAGCUUAGGUACAUGGAGAAAAAUAUCUGUAAAGGAAGUAAAAUCUUAUAGAACUUACUACUAUCUACUAUAUAACUAUGAAAUUAGCACGAACAGUUGGGGGUUAUAAAGUCUCCCAGGUAAAGUUGCCAGUUUAACUGACUUUCGUUAGUCACUUUGCAAGUUGAGCUCACCCAUCCACGAAUUACAUCAUUCAAAUUCUCUCACAACCUUCUAGCUAAAAAAUAAUGCCAGGCGCAUUUGCAUUUAACGUUUCAUUUUUCUUCUCACAUAUUUAUUUAUUUCAUUUUUUUUAGCGUUUUGUUACGCUUCACAUUUACGUGUUGAUCGCUCGUUCCAGCACACAAAGCUAAACUUGUUUUGCAAAGUGCCAUUCAAAUACUCGCUGUAGUCUGAAUCUUGGCCCAUCUAAUGACUUCAUUUCUCGUUGUUGUUUCACAAGGUGAGUUGGACGAAUCUCAAAUAUUUCAACAGCUGAAGUUCCGCGCUGAGCUAGCAGUUUACCCCAGAGAACUUUGCAUAAUUGAUUAAUAAUUUUGGCGGACAGGUGGCGCCCCCCGAGCGACCACGCCCCCUUGGCGACCGCUGCCCGCCAAUCGUUAAAUAUUCAAAUGAACUAUCCAGACCGCCCUAACCCAUUAAUUAGCCCGACUUGAGCACACAUUAGAUAAAUGUUGUGAAACUUGAUUAAAAGCAAACAGUUCGAACUCCAAGCUUCGCAUAGAAAAAAUUUCACUCUCUCGCUUUAAAAGGGGUUCCACAAUCCAGAGAUAGAUAAAGAUAGAUACUCGUAGUUCAAGAAAGGGGGAAAAUCUAUAGAAGAGGGGGCGUUACCCUAAACGUACUAUUGAUUUUACUUACAUUCGAGUUUUUGCUGAUUUGUUGAUCAUUUUGUUUGUUUGGCCUGCGCUUGCUUGUCUGUUUGCUUGUUUGUUGAUUUUCUGUUUGCUUGACUCGAAAAUUAUUUGGGUUAAACCAACAGCAACAGGCAAUCAAUGCAAUAGUCGAAGCUCGUAGAAAAGACUUCAAAUGGGAUUGAAGCACUGAUAUUUUCCGAAAUUGCUUCCUGGUAUGGAAGUUUCUUUCAUAAAGUUAUGAAAUUCCAAGUUUCAUUGGGGAAGUGCAAAGUUCGAAACUUGAAUGCAAAUUAUGUACAAAAAGAGUGCUUAAAUUUAACGGACUGUAGUCUCCUUUAAAUCAAUAGAAUUCUUAAGUAAGUCAUAAAACUUGUAAUAAAUAUAGGCCAUUCUUUCUUUUUACUUUAAGUUAUCCCCAUUGAACUGCCUUUUCUUGUUUCAACUUGUAACGUCUCUAAUCUCAUUAAUUCGUCUUCAAACACCUGCCUAAUCCAAUAAGUUGUUCAACUUCUCAGAAACAACUUUAACCGCAGAAACUUUAACACGAAGCAAGUUAAUUUGUCGCAGCUAGGAAACUAGCUUAUAGGUAAACAACGAACAUGUCAACAAAACUUAACAGAAAUUAACUGGGUAAACACGAAAAGAACCGGGAAAUACUUGCUUAAUUAACUGGCAAAACUUUCGGCAGAAAGGACACAGAGAUGGAGGUGGGGGAAAUGUGGGCGUGGGAACCCUUUUAUUAAAAGGAUAAAGUGCCGCAACGUGGCGUAUGCGCAAUUAACAUUUAUGGCAAUUAAUUAUACGAUUAUGCAUACGCCGUGUGGCACAACAUAAUCAGCCAAAGUUUCUGUCUAUUCUAUUCUGGCUCCUAAUGAAGGCAUCAAAUCCGAAGGCGACAAAAUGUUUACCACCGUCAUUUUUUGCCCCCACUUUCGGCAGUCAGCAAGGUCGAAACCGUAAACGAGCCAUUCAGAGACUUGAGACUUUAAUUAAUCGUUGUAUCGCCAACAACUCUGAUUAACCGAACAGACCCAAAAUACUAAAAUACUGCCCCCGAGGCAGCUCAAUCUCGUUAAUUGAUAUGCAAAAUCAAAUGGCCACUAAAUGGUGCGAACCAAAGAAUUACGCAGAAGUGCCAUGCCAGGUGAAGGUUUCACGGGUUAUCCAAGGAAUCCAGGCCACAGUUCGUUGAACUUGCAGAGGGGAGUGUCACAAUACAUUACGCACAAAUGAAAGUUAAUUGAAUAGCCUAAAUCUGCAGCCAGUACAAAAAUAUAGGACAUAUUUUUAUUUGCCCUUGCA